rnacentral:rRNA from 1 species
UAGAGUUUGAUCCUGGCUCAGGGCUAACGCUGGCAGCGCGCCUAACACAUGCAAGUCGAACGAACCUUCGGGUUAGUGGCAGACGGGUGAGUAACGCGUGGAUAAUGUGCCUCUUUGCUGGGGAUACCGUUUCGAAAGGAACGUUAAUACCGAAUGUGCUGGUCGGGUGGCAUCACUUGACUAGUAAACUGUUAGGGUGAAGAGAGCAGUCCGCGUUCUAUCAGCUAGUUGGUGGGGUAACGGCUCACCAAGGCUACGACGGAUAACUGGUCUGAGAGGAUGAUCAGUCACACUGGAACUGAGACACGGUCCAGACUCCUACGGGAGGCAGCAGUGAGGAAUCUUGCACAAUGGGCGAAAGCCUGAUGCAGCGACGCCGCGUGAGGGACGAAGGCCUUCGGGUUGUAAACCUCUGUCAGUAGGGAAGAAGAAUGACGGUACCUACUGAGGAAGCUUCGGCUAACUACGUGCCAGCAGCCGCGGUAAUACGUAGGAAGCAAGCGUUGCCCGGAAUUACUGGGCGUAAAGAGCUCGUAGGCGGGGGCGUGCGUCCGGGAAGAAAUCUCAAGGCUCAACCUUGGGGCUAUCUCGGAUACGGCGCUUCUUGAGGGUGAGAGAGGAAAGUAGAAUUCCCGGUGUAGCGGUGAAAUGCGUAGAUAUCGGGAGGAAUACCAGCGGCGAAGGCGACUUUCUGGCUCAUUCCUGACGCUGAGGAGCGAAAGCGUGGGUAGCGAACGGGAUUAGAUACCCCGGUAGUCCACGCCGUAAACGAUGGAUACUAUGUGUAGGAGGUAUCGACCCCUUCUGUGCCGGAGUUAACACAUUAAGUAUCCCGCCUGGGGAGUACGGUCGCAAGGGCUGAAACUCAAGGAUUUGACGGGGGCCCGCACAAGUGGUGGAGCAUGGUGGAUUAAAUUCGACGCUACGCGGAGACCUUACCUGGGGCUUUGACAUGGACAGGAUGUACUAAAAGAAUAGUGCAGCCUUCGGUCUGAUCACAGGUGCUGCAUGACUGUCUGCAGCUCGGUGCCGUGAGGUGACUGGAUAAGGUCCCGCCAACGAGCGCACCCCUUACCUUUUUAGUUGCAUCGGUGAAUGCCGUCACCUCUAGAGGAACUUGGCCAGAUCA